rfam:Chlorocebus sabaeus isolate 1994-021 chromosome 12, whole genome shotgun sequence.
GCCGGGCAUAGUGGCUCAAGUCUGUAAUCCCAGCAUUUUGGGAGGAUGAGGAAGGUGGAUCCCCUGAGAUGAGGAGUUCGAGACCAGCCUGGCCAACAUGGUGAAACCCCAUCUCCACUAAAAAUACAAAAAAAUUAGNNNNNNNNNNCUAAUUUUUUUGUAUUUUUAGUGGAGAUGGGGUUUCACCAUGUUGGCCAGGCUGGUCUCGAACUCCUCAUCUCAGGGGAUCCACCUUCCUCAU